rnacentral:rRNA from 1 species
AGUGAACGCUGGCGGUAGGCCUAACACAUGCAAGUCGAACGGCAGCACAGUAAGAGCUUGCUCUUACGGGUGGCGAGUGGCGGACGGGUGAGGAAUACAUCGGAAUCUACUUUUUCGUGGGGGAUAACGUAGGGAAACAUACGCUAACACCGCAUACGACCUACGGGUGAAAGCAGGGGAUCUUGGGACCUUGCGCGAUUGAAUGAGCCGAUGUCGGAUUACCUAGUUGGCGGGGUAAAGGCCCACCAAGGCGACGAUCCGUAGCGGCUCUGAGAGGAUGAGCAGUCACACUGGAACUGAGACACGGUCCAGACUCCUACUGGAGGCAGCAGUGGGGAAUCUUGGACAAUGGGCGAAAGCCUGAUCCAGCAAUACCGCGUGGGUGAUGAAGGUCUUCGGCUUGUAAAGCCCUUUUGUUAGGAAAGAAAAGCAGCGGAUUAAUACACCACUGUUCUGACGGUACCCAAAGAAUAAGCACCGGCUAACUUCGUG